UAUUUGGCUUUGGGAAGGCUAUGCCUUAUCGCUGCUCUCUUCAAGCUGCUUCCAGGAUGUACUCAAGGGAGUGCUGGAGAGUGAACCUCAACACUUGUGGAUUCUCAGAGAGGUCUGGAUAAUCAUCAGAAGGUCUGGAUGUUUAUUUGAACCUUGUUUAAACAAUUUGGGUCCCUUGGGUCUGCAAUUUUGGGUCAGCAACCUUUUACAUAUGACUCUUGGUAUCUCUGUUUUCUGAUGAGGCUGGACACACUCACGUGUCUCUUUGAAGCGGUAUUUUUCUGCUGUUUUUACUACUGUUAGGGGGUUAUCAGGUCACCAGUUUUUGGAUUCUGGUUCAGGAAAGGCCUUAGACAUGUUCCUGGCCUUGAGUAUAAAGCAAAACAACAAGGACUGGAGAACAUGCUUUAAAGAAAUGAGGUAGACAUAGGAAAAAAUAUCAGACAGAAAAGUUGUGACAGCUGGUGUGCAUGUGACUGAUUUGAGACAGCAAACAUCUGCGGAUCAUAAGCCCUUGGUUAGUUUGUGGGAAAAGACAAGUUGCACGAAAAGGUAAAAGUGCAAAUGAAAAUGAGAGUGCAUUUCUCUUUGAGUCUUGGUUUACAUUCAGCUUUACUAAGAAAGGGGGAAUACAAAUAUGGUAUACAAAGCCAUCAGGAAGUAAUAAAAAUACAAAUAUGUGCACUGUAAGGGCUGUAUAUCACACUUACUUUCCUCUCACAUAAGCUAGUUUCCUUAAUCAAGCCUCAAAAUGCAGGCUCAUGGGUACUGAAAAUAUGUGUUUUCUGUAAUUUCUAGCAUUAGGGGGCCUACCAGUUCAGGAUGUAACUUAUGUAGCAGUAAUUCUAGGACUGAACUGCUAAACAGCAGGAACGGGAAGCACGUCUGAUCAUCCUCCAAAUUUUGCAGAUUUUGGGAAUGCCUUGAGCAAGGACUUUGGCAUCUGAAUUCCCUGUGCAGCCUGACUGAGGCUUUUUGGCAGAAAGAUGUAGGUGCAAUGAGACAGUCAUCUCAGUCCAACAGAGAACACCGCUUUUGGUAGAGGAACUAGUUUUCUUUGUAAAUCUAAUUGGCUUUGAAAAACAAGCUAAUGGCUGAAGUAUCUGCAGAGCAGCUUUCAUGUAAACUCAUCUUCUAUGAGAUAAAGAAAAUAACUUUUUAAAGAAUAUGUAUUAUUUUAAUCUUUGUCCUUGAAAUUAACAAAUUAACUUUCUCUGUGAUCUGUGACUGCCUCUGGCUGUGUUUUUACUGUCGUAACAGCCUCUGGAAGAUCGUGCGUCUCUCACAUUCACUGCAAAGUAAACAGGAAUUCUUUCCAAGGGUAACUGGCCAAGCUCCAGUGGAAGAAUGCAAGUUAUUCAUGAGUUCUGGUAGGCUCAUUUAUGCUUAAUAUGGUUUGUUUUUAUUAUGGACUUUGUGAAGAGAAGAAAAGUAAUGAAAAAUUUUAAAUCCCCUUGGAUUAUUUUCUUCAAACGUGGAAAAUAACCUUCUCACGCCCUCCCCAGCACACAGCCACACUGCUCUUUGUCCUGGCUGCAUUCACAUCUUUUCUACCUUUAGUCACAAGAAGCUGAGCUGGCAGAAGGAUACCAAGAUGUGGCUAGGACAUGUCAUUCUCAUUCUGAGAACCCAGCUGGUGUCGCAGACAAGCACAGCAAUCCAUCACAGCUUUGGUGAAGGCCUGCCAACACCAUCCACCGUUUGCCCAGAAGAUUCCCCUUCCCAAGCACGGGCAGCAGCAAUUGGAAUUUCUUUGUCUUGCACAACCUUCAUAGAAAAGGAAGAAAAGUCCUUGAGGUAUUCAAGCAGAUUCAAUGUUAUAAGAGCAGACCGGGGCCAGGUGAACUGUGCUCGGGUCCUGUGUCCUUUGUGGCACCAGCAGGUCUCCUGUACCCAUGCAGCACAUCUCAAUCAUUGUGCCUUUCCUGCUUUUGUCUGGUUUGCUCUCCAGGGCUUCUGAGGCUUUGUGGUUCUUCCCAUUCUGACAAACUGAGCUGCCCUUUAGUGCUUUCCUGGGACUUGUGGGAAUAUGUAUUCUGUUUUAAUAUUGCUGUUUAAGAAAUAAUGUUGUUAUUGAGUGGAUAUUCUCUCUUUUUAAGUGCUAUUAAAUUUUAAGUGAAUAUGGACAUAAUGUCUUAUAAUAGCUUUUAGUGUGAAAUUCUAAGCUGCUUCGCCAUAAAAAAACAGACUUAAGCUUAGCAAAACUCAUUUUAAUUAUUAUUAAAUUAGGGUUUAAGUUAAAUUAUUAAUUAUAAUAUCUGGGUUUAUGUAUAUGGGGUGCAGAAAACAUGGAUUUCUCCAACGUCCCACCAAAAGAGCUAUAUUGAGUCAAGACUGAACCCUUAACACUGGACUUUUAAGAGGAAGACAUUAUGUAGCAAAUUGCAUGAGUUGAAUUAUGGGCAUCUAAAUGAGUGUGCAACUGGUCAGGACCUCCUGGCAAGUCUCAUGUGAUAUUUUAUGACUAACAUCAAUAGCAGCUGAGCAAAAAAAGUGUUUUUCUUCAGCUGCCCUUUGGUUAGAGUUGAACAGACAGGUUAGCUCAGUCCAAUUUGUUCCAUUCACCUCUCUUCCCUUUUUGUUUUCCCUUUGACUAUUCAAGUGCCCAUCUUUUGUUUCAACUAAUACUCAAAUAGGAGGUUUUAAUUUCACAUGAAAGAACACACUGGUGUGAUGCCAGGGAUUUACACCAGAAUUUCUGGCAUACUCAACUCUGUGUUUUGGCUGCCUGUAUGUAUUUGGAAAUGAGGGUAUUAAAAAGGAAGGGAACAUUAUUCAUUCCAAUGCUUAGCAUAAUGCAGCAUUUCUAAAUGUUCAAAGCACUGUCCAGACAUCAUCUUAAUAAUCUCAUAAUCUUUCCAGGAAUAUAAACAGAGUUUAUCUCCUUCUAAUGCUGAAGCAAAUUUCUCAAGGGCAGGAAUGGGAAAGGCUCCACUUCUCUUAUUUCACAGAAUCACAGAAUCACAGGGUUUGGAAGGGAUGUCAAGAGAUCGAGUCCAAACCCCCUGCUAAAUUUUCAGGUAAGUUUGGACUGAGAGCCUUGAAGCAGUUGGCUGGAAAAAUCAUUAAACCUUCCAGAUGGACUCUGCUUUGUCUUUGGACUGGUUGACCCAUCUCACGACUGUGUCCCCAGGCAGUGCUGCCUGCCGGUCCUGAGGCGCUGAAGUCACAAUACAAGCAAUGGAAAUUUUCCAAACUGGGGAAGAACAGCUGGGGGUUGAACAGUUGGCACCAUGAUGAAGAAGAAGAUGAAAUAAAGGAGCAGAAAUAGGUGGUCGUAGACCAUCAUAGUCCCCAGCUGCACGUUCCCAGAGGGACACUAGCAUAUAUUGAUGAUUUCUUAGAAAACAGUGAAUGAAUAUGUAUGCCAGUGUAUUUCGUAUGUCUGUCUUAACUGUUUAAAUGUAGAACCUGAACUCUAAGUCACCCAGUACAUAUUGUGAGAAUAAAGGAAUGCUGGCUU